GAAGGGAUAGCUCAGUGGUAGAGCAUUCGACCGCAGAUCGAGGGUUCCCCGGUUCAAUGGGGGAGUCUUCUUCU